GACGAACGCUGGCGGCGUGCUUAACACAUGCAAGUCGAACGCUGAAACCAGAGCUUGCUUUGGUGGAUGAGUGGCGAACGGGUGAGUAACACGUGGGUGAUCUGCCCUACACUUUGGGAUAAGCCUGGGAAACUGGGUCUAAUACCGAAUAUUCACACCACCGGUAGGGUGGUGUGGAAAGCUUUAUGCGGUGUGGGAUGAGCCUGCGGCCUAUCAGCUUGUUGGUGGGGUAAUGGCCUACCAAGGCGUCGACGGGUAGCCGGCCUGAGAGGGUGUACGGCCACAUUGGGACUGAGACACGGCCCAG
rnacentral:rRNA from 1 species